UAAUAGCGUAUAUUAAAGUUGUUGCAGUUAAAAAGCUCGUAGUCGGAUGUCGGGCUCGGGGAGGCUGUCGGCCUUUGGUCGGACGGCAUGUCCGGGCCUUUCUGCCUGGGGAUCCUAUUCUACUUAACUGUAGGGUAGUGGGACGCAGGCCGUUUACUUUGAAAAAAUUAGAGUGUUCAAAGCAGGCCUACGCUUGAAUACAUUAGCAUGGAAUAACGGAAUAGGACUUUGGUCUUAUUUGUUGGUUUAUGGGACCGAAGUAAUGAUUAACAGGGACAGUUGGGGCCGUUUAUAUUUCGUUGUCAGAGGUGAAAUUCUUGGAUUUACGAAAGAUAAACUUCUGCGAAAGCAUUCGGCAAGGAUGUUUUCAUUGA
rnacentral:rRNA from 1 species